GAUGAACGCUGGCGGCGUGCUUAACACAUGCAAGUCGAACGAAGUCGUUUGGACGGAAGUUUUCGGACGGAAGGAAGAAUGACUGAGUGGCGGACGGGUGAGUAACGCGUGGGUAACCUGCCUCAUACAGGGGGAUAACAGUUAGAAAUGACUGCUAAUACCGCAUAAGCCUACGGUGUCGCAUGACACAGUAGGAAAAGCUCCGGCAGUAUGAGAUGGACCCGCGUCUGAUUAGCUAGUUGGUGAGGUAACGGCCCACCAAGGCGACGAUCAGUAGCCGACCUGAGAGGGUGACCGGCCACAUUGGGACUGAGACACGGCCCAAACUCCUACGGGAGGCAGCAGUGGGGAAUAUUGCACAAUGGGCGAAAGCCUGAUGCAGCGACGCCGCGUGAAGGAAGAAGUAUUUCGGUAUGUAAACUUCUAUCAGCAGGGAAGAAAUUGACGGUACCUGACUAAGAAGCCCCGGCUAACUACGUGCCAGCAGCCGCGGUAAGAC
rnacentral:rRNA from 1 species